CACUCCUUGUCUCACUCCUUGUCUCACUCAUUGUCUCACUCAUUGUCUCACUCCUUGUUUCACUCUUUGUCUCACUCUUUUCUUUCUGGCCCUCUUGCUCUGCUUCACUUUCUUCAUCUCCAUCUCUGCAGUUGUAUAUGUAAAAAAAAUCACAGCCCACCUCCCUUUAUCUUCCUUUAUCUGCAAAACUCUCCCACAUCCAAUUUCUCUUUCUCUCCAUUUCACUCUUUUUUUCUACAGCAAAUCUCAAUUUGAUCUUGCCUCUUUGGCUCUGAUAUCCACUUCCUAGUUUCUUCUAAAUUGGCUUUCAGCAAGUGUCUUACCCACCCUGUAGCAUCUGUGAUUGGUUGUUUUCUCUUCAGACCCGAUCAGGAUUGGUGAAUAACGACCGCUUAGAUGAGUUCAGGGUGUCCUUUGGAGGUCUGGUUCCAGGUCAGGAGUAUUGUGUUGCAGCCAACUUCACUUUCAAUGGCUUCAGACCCUCACACACCUCCCAGCCCGUCUGCCUGCAGCUGGACCCACUUCCUGUAGACCUGUGGCCUAUAUGGUUGGGUGCAGGACUGAGUGUUUUGUUCUUCAUUCCUUCGUUCCUUGUGGUUUUCUAUCUGCUGAGACGAAACAAACAACCAUCAGAGGACCACCUCCCUCGAGCACUGGUAGUGUACACACACACACACACACACACAGACACACACACACACACACUCUUGAGCAGGGCACAAUAUUCAUAGUUCACACCUAACCUGAUAACUGGUAUACUUGCACGCACCCAGAACAGACAGAGACACAUACACUCUCGUCUUGAUUUUGUAUGCACACACACGUAUUCUCGUAUGCACACACACACAUGCGUACACACACACACACAGAGAGACUGAGAGAGAGAGAGUACAUAAUUUAUGAAAUGACAAUUGCUUAGAAUGCUUUAUGUGGGGUGUGGUGUGUGUGUGUGUCUCUAGGCAGGCCUCCUUGACCCCGUGUCUGGCUGUCCGGUCCCCAGUGAGGGCCCUGGUAUGUUGCCUGCUGAGGACAGCCUCUCUGUCAUCUCCCUCUGCAGCUGCGACCUCAGCCACCUCUCCACCCAGCUCCCAGCUCCC
rnacentral:lncRNA from 1 species